rnacentral:snoRNA from 1 species
UCGUCAGGUGGGAUAAUCCUUACCUGUUCCUCCUUCGGGAGGGCAGAUCGGAACAUGAUGAUUGGAGUUCGCAUGACUCGUGAUUAACGUCUCUGCGUAAUCAGGACUUGCAACACCCUGAUUGCUCCUAUCUGAU